CUUCUUUGGUUGAUAAAAAUGUAGUAUCUAACAAAAAUGUUGAGAAGGAGUUUUCUUUGAAUAAAAAUGGUGAAAUGGGUUCAACUUUCAAGAAGAGAAAGAAUAUCGUCGAUCAAUCUUUGGAAGAUACCGCAAGCUCUCCUCUCAAUACUCCCAAGGAGAAGAGAAAGGCAAUAGUUGAGGACAAAAAGAAUUGA